rnacentral:rRNA from 1 species
GACGAAGGGGGCUAGCGUUGUUCGGAAUUACUGGGCGUAAAGCGCGUGUAGGUGGUUGUCCAAGUUGGAUGUGAAAGCCUUGAGCUCAACUCAAGAAAUGCAUUCAGGACUGGAUGGCUAGAGGACCGGAGAGGAUAGUGGAAUUCCCAGUGUAGUGGUGAAAUACGUAGAGAUUGGGAAGAACACCAGUGGCGAAGGCGGCUAUCUGGACGGUUUCUGACACUAAGACUCGAAAAGCGUGGGGAGCAAACAGG